ensembl:misc_RNA 7SK 7SK RNA
GGAUGUGAGGGUGAGCUGGCUGCGACUCAUCACACCAUCAUCACCAGGGUUGGUCCCGCUGAGCUGCUGGCUAGGGGUGUCCCCUUCCUCCCGCACAUGCUCCAUGUGCCUCCCUCUCGAAGCUACGUACUUGGUCUAAGAGGAGAACCAUCCCUGAGAGAGAAGGAUCGCCUUCUGUCAAGGGUAGACGGGUAGCUGGGCUCCCCUGCUGGAAGCUCUCAAAGACCCAGGGGGGGAAAAAUCCCAUCCAAAACUCAAAGGAAGGGCAUAAUGCUAU